CAUGCAAGUCGUGGGGCAGCAUGAAUGUAGCAAUACAUUUGAUGGCGACCGGCAAACGGGUGCGGAACACGUACACAACCCUCCUAUAAGUGGGGAAUAGCCCAGAGAAAUUUGGAUUAAUACCCCGUAACAUAACGAUGUGGCAUCACAUUGUUAUUAUAGCUUCGGCGCUUAUUGAUGGGUGUGCGGCUGAUUAGAUAGUUGGCGGGGUAACGGCCCACCAAGUCUACGAUCAGUAGCUGAUGUGAGAGCAUGAUCAGCCACACGGGCACUGAGACACGGGCCCGACUCCUACGGGAGGCAGCAGUAAGGAAUAUUGGUCAAUGGACGCAAGUCUGAACCAGCCAUGCCGCGUGAAGGAUUAAGGUCCUCUGGAUUGUAAACUUCUUUUAUCUGGGACGAAAAAAGGCUUUUCUAAGUCACUUGACGGUACCAGAUGAAUAAGCACCGGCUAACUCCGUGCCAGCAGCCGCGGUAAUACGGAGGGUGCAAGCGUUAUCCGGAUUCACUGGGUUUAAAGGGUGCGUAGGCGGGCAGGUAAGUCAGUGGUGAAAUCCUGGAGCUUAACUCCAGAACUGCCAUUGAUACUAUCUGUCUUGAAUAUUGUGGAGGUAAGCGGAAUAUGUCAUGUAGCGGUGAAAUGCUUAGAUAUGACAUAGAACACCUAUCGCGAAGGCAGCUUACUACGCAUAUAUUGACG
rnacentral:rRNA from 1 species